UACGUAGGGUGCGAGCGUUAAUCGGAAUUACUGGGCGUAAAGCGUGCGCAGGCGGUUCGCUAAGACCGAUGUGAAGUCCCCGGGCUUAACCUGGGAACUGCAUUGGUGACUGGCGAGCUAGAGUGUGGCAGAGGGGGGUAGAAUUCCACGUGUAGCAGUGAAAUGCGUAGAGAUGUGGAGGAAUACCGAUGGCGAAGGCAGCCCCCUGGGCUAACACUGACGCUCAUGCACGAAAGCGUGGGGAGCAAACAGG
rnacentral:rRNA from 1 species